rnacentral:rRNA from 1 species
UAAUGUCUGGGAAACUGCCUGAUGGAGGGGGGUAACUACUGGAAACGGUAGCUAAUACCGCAUAACGUCGCAAGACCAAAGUGGGGGACCUUCGGGCCUCAUGCCAUCAGAUGUGCCCAGAUGGGAUUAGCUAGUAGGUGGGGUAAUGGCUCACCUAGGCGACGAUCCCUAGCUGGUCUGAGAGGAUGACCAGCCACACUGGAACUGAGACACGGUCCAG